GACGAACGCUGGCGGCGUGCUUAACACAUGCAAGUCGAACGGAAAGGCCCUGCUUGCAGGGUGCUCGAGUGGCGAACGGGUGAGUAACACGUGGGUGAUCUGCCCCUUACUUUGGGAUAAGCCUGGGAAACUGGGUCUAAUACUGGAUAGGACCAUGCUGUAGGUGGUGUGGUGGAAAGAUUAGUUUCGGUAAGGGAUGAGCUCGCGGCCUAUCAGCUUGUUGGUGGGGUAAUGGCCUACCAAGGCGUCGACGGGUAGCCGGCCUGAGAGGGUGGACGGCCACAUUGGGACUGAGAUACGGCCCAGACUCCUACGGGAGGCAGCAGUGGGGAAUAUGGCACAAUGGGCGCAAGCCUGAUGCAGCGACGCCGCGUGGGGGAUGACGGCCUUCGGGUUGUAAACUCCUUUCAGCCAUGACGAAGCCUUCGGGUGACGGUAGUGGUAGAAGAAGCACCGGCUAACUACGUG
rnacentral:rRNA from 1 species